GACGAACGCUGGCGGCGUGCUUAACACAUGCAAGUCGAACGGAAAGGCCCUGCUCUUGUGGGGUGCUCGAGUGGCGAACGGGUGAGUAACACGUGAGUAUCCUGCCCCUGUCUUUGGGAUAACUCCAGGAAACUCCGGCUCUUAUAGGAUAGGAGCUCCUGAUGCAUGGUGGGGGUUGGUAAGUUUCGGCGGUUGUGGAUGGACUCGCGGCUUAUCAGCUUGUUUGUGGGGUAGUUGCUUACCAAGGCUUUGACGGCUAGCCUGCCUGGGAGGGGGGCCGGGCACAAUGGGACUGAGAUACGGCCCAGACGCCUACGUGAGGCAGCAGUGGGGAGUAUUGCACAAUAGGCGGAAGCCUGAUACAGCAACGCCGCGUGCGGAAUGACGGCCUUCGGGUUGUAAACCGCUUUCGCCUGUGACGAAGCGUGAGUGACGGUAAUGAGUAAAGAAGCACCGGCUAACUACGUG
rnacentral:rRNA from 1 species